rnacentral:rRNA from 1 species
CCCUUAGAUGUCCGGGGCCGCACGCGCGCUACACUGAAGGAAUCAGCGUGGCUCUGUCCCUGGUCCGAAAGGAUUGGGAAACCCGUUGAAUCUCCUUCGUGAUAGGGAUUGGGGCUUGGAACUGUUCCCCAUGAACGAGGAAUUCCCAGUAAACGCAAGUCAUCAGCUUGCAUUGAUUACGUCCCUGCCCUUUGUACACACCGCCCGUCGCACCUACCGAUUGAAUGGUCCGGUGAAAUCUCGGGACGGCGGCUUGGUCGCUUGCGUCCGACUGCUGAAACUUGAUUAAACCAUAUCAUUUAGAGGAAGGUGAAGUCGUAACA